UUAGGCACAUAACCAACAGCAGUAAAAGUCUGUCGAGCAGAACAUGACAGACUGUCACAGGUUCAGAAGUGAGGACAGCAGUUGUGGGCGCCCCAUGGUACCAGCCCCCGUUUAUCUAUGGAAUAGGGACGUCCUAGUCUGUCAGCGGUCCUGUGUCACACUUCUCCCUCCCAAAUAUUUUAGCGGUAUACAUCUUCCAGGUAAGUAGGUAGACCUUUUAAGACCCUGUGUAUCUUAAAUUAUCUAUUCUGUAACAUUUUGGUGGAGCAAAGUGGAAUGGAGUCCCCACUCACCCCUCACCCCAGCUUGAUCUUGGGCAAGUGACUUAAUCUUUCAGUCUUACCAUCUGUGAAAUGGAGAUGAAAAUAGUCCCUACUUCAUCAGGUUGUUGAUUGAUUUUCAUUGAUGAAAAUCAAGUGAGCUAAUGCUUGCAGAAAUAACUCAGAGGGUAAGUGCUGAAGAGAAAGAAAGCAAAGCCCACCCCCCCACACACACAAGUGCGUUUGGAGCCUUCAAGCCCGAGCUGUCAACCUGAUGGGCAGGGUUCUCUCAUCCCAGUCCCCAGCACUUCCACGUUGCACCAGGACCGCAUGAUAAGGACCAGAGCUCCUAGAGGGAGUCAGCUCUGCUUUCAAGAUGAAAGUUCAGUCCACAGGUCCUGGGUCCUACCAGCAGGUCAGCAGACGGUGUGACACUGCUCUGAGGGACAGCAGCCACCCCAGUUCUCGUUCCUGGGGCUGCAGCCCUCACAGGAAGCUCCUGUCUCCUCACCACCACAGCAGCUCACCUUGAAUCCAUGUUCUUUCAAAGUUAACACCUUUGUUGAGAGGAAACUCACAUGCAGUAAAAUUCACCAUUUUAAAGUGCAUAAUUCAGGUUUUUAGUAAUGACAGUUGCACUCUAAUUCUACAUGCUAUUGCAAGAUGAACUGUUCUAGAAGACAUGCAUUUAUCGAGCACUAACCACCUGCUAGAUACUAUGCUGUAUAUUGGGCAUUUAUCAGUAAAUGAGGUGACCACCGUAGCUGCCCUUCCAAAGUAUACAGCCAAGAAGAGAGAGACAGAGGAGUUCAAUUUGGGGCAUCCAUCAAACACUAAGUCUGAGUUGGAUAUGGGAUAGCCAGAUAGACAUUAGUUGUUGAUUAGAUGCAGUUAGUUAUACUAGUCUGAAACUCAGGAAGAAUUUAGGAUAAAAAGUAUUUGAUGCAGUUGAAACCAGGGUUCUCAUGUGGGGAGGAGGGAACUAUAAAUAUGAAACAAGAAGAGGUAAGGAAUAUGUAGUUAGGGAUUUGAAUCAGAGGCAUCAGUAAGUACUUCAGACUUUUGGAAUAUUCAUGUUUUCUAGUUUUCCCCAUCAAGAAGCCCCUGAAGCAAUGACAGCCCAGUAAUAAUAAAGGUCAGCUAGAGCUCCUAUUCUAUCUUGGUUUCUAAAUACUGCUCCUCAGUGGGAAGAACCAGGGCCAGAGAUGGCCAAUCCCUGAAAAAUCCUGUGCCACCAGGUAUGGAAACAACCAAUGAAUGAUAGAGGCAUGCUAAAAGCACGCAGCAACUGCCUGAAAAGGCUCCUGCUGGCUAAAUACGGGACAACUUAAGCAGCAAAAGAAUAAAAAAGGCAAGAUACUCUAGCUCACUGAACAAAAAAGAAUCUCUGACCACAUACUAAUGCCAUACUAGAAAAAAAAAAUGAGGGAUCUUUAUAGAAUGUCUAAGAAAGGUAGAAAAAAAUGCUGGCAUUAGAAAAAUUACCACUUCGUAGCCACCAGAGUAAUAGCUGACUUAGUAAAAGAUCAGACACGGAUGCUCAUAAAACCACAGCAGUGAAAGGUGGAGAAGCAGGUUAUUCAAAUAGUCUCAAAGUAUCACCUUAUAGAUUACUUAUUAAUCUCAAAGUUAAAAAAAAAAAAAAAAA
rnacentral:lncRNA from 1 species